rnacentral:rRNA from 1 species
UACAGAGGGGGCAAGCGUUGUUCGGAAUUACUGGGCGUAAAGGGCGCGUAGGCGGCCGCCUAAGUCAGACGUGAAAUCCCUCGGCUCAACCGGGGAACUGCGUCUGAUACUGGGAGGCUUGAAUCCGGGAGAGGGAUGCGGAAUUCCAGGUGUAGCGGUGAAAUGCGUAGAUAUCGGGAGGAACACCUGUGGCGAAAGCGGCGCACUGGACCACAACUGACGCUGAGGCGCGAAAGCUAGGGGAGCAAACAGG